CCUACGGGUGGCUGCAGUGGGGAAUAUUGCACAAUGGGGGGAACCCUGAUGCAGCGACGCCGCGUGAGUGAAGAAGUAUUUCGGUAUGUAAAGCUCUAUCAGCAGGGAAGAAAAUGACGGUACCUGACUAAGAAGCCCCGGCUAACUACGUGCCAGCAGCCGCGGUAAUACGUAGGGGGCAAGCGUUAUCCGGAUUUACUGGGUGUAAAGGGAGCGUAGACGGGUAUGCAAGUCUGAAGUGAAAGCCCAAGGCUCAACCAUGGGACUGCAUUGGAAACUGGGAAACGGGAGUGCAGGAGAGGUAAGCGGAAUUCCUAGUGUAGCGGUGAAAUGCGUAGAUAUUAGGAGGAACACCGGUGGCGAAGGCGGCCUGCUGGACUGUGACUGACGUUGAGGCCCGAAGGCGUGGGGAGCAAACAGGAUUAGAUACCCGAGUAGUC
rnacentral:rRNA from 1 species